rnacentral:lncRNA from 1 species
GAUUGACAGCUAUCCACCUGAACCCAUUGAAACCGGCAGAAGCGUGUACGCAUUUUAACCUUCCAAGCCAGUGGCGCGGCUGCGCAUUUCUAUCCUUUAAGCUAUGAGCGCAGAUACGUCAUUUAGCAACAUUCUGUAGUUUUUCAAUCAUUUCUGGAGUCAUGGCGAAUCAAAUCAUCAUACCAGUCUACCUCUGAUAAGCUAUUAAAGCUUAAGCGCUUGGAUUCAUGCUCGGAUCUUCCUACGUGCCUCGUGAGGAAAGGAAACAAUUACAGAGGCGGAGAGCAGCUUCGGAGGAGAAGCAUCGGGCAGUGUGAACAACCUCUUCAUAGUGAGGUCUUUGGCUCACAUUAUCGGUGAUUUCUGUGAGUGUUGCAUGACUUUGGGUGAGCACAGAGAUGAACACACUGUCAGAAACUUAUUUAUCUAUUUAUUAGUUUUUGGUGCUGCUUUUGUACUAACACUAUACUGGGGCAGCUACAUACCCUUUCAACAUUUAAUUUUUUAUAUUUACAUUUGUAUUGAAUGGACACUUUAUCAUGACUGCCUCUUGUUUUACAGAAAGCAAAUAGUUUGUUUUUCUCCAGUGCAAUCCUUACUUUUAUUUAUACAGCCACUUUAUUUCAUUUGAGUUCGUUUGUUCGAGGUUUUUGAUAAUGUGAUGAAGGUUCGGAAAAAUAAAAGAUAGGUAUCUUGAAAGCCACAUGUAUAAGCUCUCAAAUACUUUUUAAAUUUUGUUUCUAUCUGCUACAGAGGCUGACAUAUCAGCUUUUUUGUAAACCUCAACACUCAACAAGAAAACCUCAGGAUCUGGGGGCCCUUCUCAAAAUGGCCCUCAGGAUUUCAGAGGUGGGUCUCAGACAGGGUUCAGGUCUUAAUGGGUUAAAAGUGGGGAAAAGUUUCUCUGCCUCUGUAGUGGAUAGCUGUCAAUCAUCCUCACAGUCUAUGCCCUUACCAGAGAGACAGAGAGCUCUUUACACAAAUGUGGUCAAGUUUUUUCUGUCA